AAGUCGUAACAAGGUUUCCGUAGGUGAACCUGCGGAAGGAUCAUUAACAACAUAUCCUAACUAAAACCCCUGUUCUGGUAAAUCAUAGUGAACAGCUUUUGAUUCAGAGACCUCUGAAAUAACCUCGCGUGGUUGGGUAAGGUAAGGCAAGUGACCUGGUACCCUCAAGACCAGUGUUCAGUGAUCUGUCAGUGUUCAUUGACUGGAAUCAAACGUUCUGUCAGUGUGCGUUUGGUUUGGCAAGGGUGGCGCAGUAAACGAUCGCUGGACCGGGUCAGUGAGCUCUGCUCCCGCUGUUACGACAAACCUCUGUUCCCCUCUAGUGAAAGCUAUUGGGUUAUAACUAAACGACUGUUAACAAUGGAUAUCUCGAUUCUC
rnacentral:misc_RNA from 1 species